rfam:Nestor notabilis contig86493, whole genome shotgun sequence.
CCAAUGGAUGUAUUCACAUCCAAGCAUACAGACAUUUACAUGCUUU